rnacentral:rRNA from 1 species
AACGAACGCUGGCGGCAUGCCUAACACAUGCAAGUCGAACGAGACCUUCGGGUCUAGUGGCGCACGGGUGCGUAACGCGUGGGAAUCUGCCCUUGGGUUCGGAAUAACAGCGAGAAAUUGCUGCUAAUACCGGAUGAUGACGUAAGUCCAAAGAUUUAUCGACCCAAGGAUGAGCCCGCGUAGGAUUAGCUAGUUGGUGAGGUAAAGGCUCACCAAGGCGACGAUCCUUAGCUGGUCUGAGAGGAUGAUCAGCCACACUGGGACUGAGACACGGCCCAGACUCCUACGGGAGGCAGCAGUGGGGAAUAUUGGACAAUGGGCGAAAGCCUGAUCCAGCAAUGCCGCGUGAGUGAUGAAGGCCUUAGGGUUGUAAAGCUCUUUUACCCGGGAUGAUAAUGACAGUACCGGGAGAAUAAGCUCCGGCUAACUCCGUGCCAGCAGCCGCGGUAAU